rnacentral:rRNA from 1 species
CCUACGGGAGGCAGCAGUGGGGAAUUUUGGACAAUGGGCGAAAGCCUGAUCCAGCCAUGCCGCGUGCAGGAUGAAGGCCUUCGGGUUGUAAACUGCUUUUGUGAACAGUCCGGUACCGUAAGAAUAAGCACCGGCUAACUACGUGCCAGCAGCCGCGGUAAUACGUAGGGUGCAAGCGUUAAUCGGAAUUACUGGGCGUAAAGCGUGCGCAGGCGGUAAUGUAAGACAGAUGUGAAAUCCCCGGGCUCAACCUGGGAACUGCAUUUGUGACUGCAUUGCUGGAGUGCGGCAGAGGGGGAUGGAAUUCCGCGUGUAGCAGUGAAAUGCGUAGAUAUGCGGAGGAACACCGAUGGCGAAGGCAAUCCCCUGGGCCUGACUGACGCUCAUGCACGAAAGCGUGGGGAGCAAACAGGAUUAGAUACCCUUGUAGUC